rnacentral:lncRNA from 1 species
GGGAGAGCAGCAGGGGAAGAAAUCUUUUCAAUCUGGAUGAACAGAUCAGCUGCCUUGGACACCAUGCUGUUCUGGCCAAACCAGGGUUUCUGUGACAUCAUGCCCCAUUCUCAUACUGUCAGCAAAAUUCCCUGAGGACAACAGCUGCCACUGCCUACGUACAAGUGUUUCUGCUCACUCCAUUCAGGAAUGCAUGCCAGUCCUCCUUUCCCUGAGGCUGCUUAUCUCCUUUCUGCUCACUCAAGAUGCUAGGUUCAGUGAGGAUGAGGAUGCUGGAAGAACAUGUUUUCAUGACAGUCAGAGGACCACAUGUGAGGUGGCCCAAAACUAGCCAUCCAUCUCCAGAGCUGCACUAGGAUCCACAGAUGGGUUUUAGCCUGGCAGGAAAAUAGCUAUGCCCAUUCCUGAGUCCUUUAGUUGUGACGAUAUCUGGAGAGAGAAAAGGGACCAUCUCUUCCCGGGCCUCUUUUCUAAGAAUAAGGAAACUUCUUCCAUAACUCCUCCAGCAGACUUCACUUUGCACCUUAUUGGCCAGAAGUGUGUUACGUGACAAUUCUUCAACCAAGAAGGGGAACGGAUUAGCUUGACAGGCUGCAGACUACCCUUCGAACUGAGCAUGAAGUCAUCUUCCUCCAAGUCAUGUGUGAGGACGUGAAGGAAGUGAGAUAUCUGAACACAAAGGAAGGAAGAAGGGAGAAUGAGCAUUGGAUAGACAAUCAGUUGAGCACUUGGAGCUGCUUUGUGCGAGCUUGUGAGAGUCAACUGUUAGACUCAGGAAUUUUGAAUGCUGGCAGUUAAACACAGCCAUUAUCAAAAAUUAAGUUAUAUAAUCUUACAGUUAAAAUAUGUUAAAGCAAAAGUAAUAAAUACUCAAAAGUGAUCAAUCUCUAAUUAUUUUUACUACAUCAUUCUAUUAUCUAUGCUUUUGAUGUUUUGUAUCUGUGUGGG